GAAGAAUGAAAGACAAAAAGCAAAAAAACUACAUAGAGAUACUUGACAAGACCAGAUCAUGUUAUGUCAUGCACUCUAUGCAGAUGGUGGAUAAGAGUUGUACUUCUGGGGUUUGCUGAAGGAGAGGUGAAGUGGCUUGGUGAAAGGAAGAAAGCGGUUUGUUUUUUCCGUGUGUUGUGCGCUCAUAUAUACACAGACAAAACUUCAACAUGCACAGACCCACACAUCAGUGAUUCUCUGAGCUCGGUCAAGGCAAUGCAAUUUUACUGUAGGAGGAUGGAAGAGUGUGAGCCACGUUUUCAUCAAAUAGAUACCCCAAAGGAGUCCUUAGAGAUGAGUCAACAUGGAUUGUGUAUGCAGCCAUUCGUCGCCCCUGUAUAAUAUCAGAGUGGAAGCUGCAAUGCAGUGAGUAUGUCCUGCCUCCUUAUUCUAUAGCAAUUUAUUAUUAGUGGAUGGUAGUCCUUAGAGCAAACAA
rnacentral:lncRNA from 8 species